GCGGGCGUAACUCAGCGGUAGAGUGCAACCUUCCCAAGGUUGAGGUCGCGAGUUCAAAUCUCGUCGCCCGCUCCA
rnacentral:tRNA from 1 species